AGUGUGACUUUUUCAGAAGGUGAGUUACGCGUUCCGGGCAGUCAGUGCACUGCUCAGCAGGAGGAGGUCCUGCAGGUGGUGCUGCAAGGGGUCGGCUGGCCGCAGGGGGGCCGGCAGCAGGGGGACUGCACAGACACAGGCUGGCAGCAGGGAGGCCGGCAGCAGGGGGACUGCACAGACACAGGCUGGCAGCAGGUGGUGCUGCAAGGGGUCGGCUGGCCGCAGGGGGGCCGGCAGCAGGGGGACUGCACAGACACAGGCUGGCAGCAGGUGGUGGCCCAGCAGCAGGGCCUGCACACC
rnacentral:lncRNA from 1 species